rnacentral:lncRNA from 1 species
GAUAAAACAUCAACGUUGCAGAGCAGACAGAGUCAGAGGUAGAGUCGUGUUGCUGUCAGCCAAUCAGAGGAGAGAUGUCCAGAUAUCAGGAAUGAAGACUCCAAAAUCUGCCAAUUUUUUCUCCUGCUGACUUCUACAUCCUUAAACAGACGCACCAGAGAUUUUUUCCCAGAAAAUGACUUGCAAGGCAUCUAUUCCCACUAUACACCACUGCCAGUGUAUGGAAAUAUAUGUAAAGUCGACCUUUUAAAGAAAGACAACAAGUAAAACGCUAAAUGGAAAGACCUGAGCUGGACUGCUUGUCCAGGUGUGUUUGAAGACCAACAGCAGGAUGAUUAAAAUGAUUUAGUUUAGAUUAAACAUUUAAAAACUGAUGACACCUGGAUCAGAACCUGAUGUGGUUUAAAGGUACAGGAUGUUCUAGAACAGGUAGACGUUGCUGCCGCUUGUUCUGGGUUUUUUCUGGCCCACGAGGCGGUUCUGAACCUGAGACGUUUCCCAGGGUUGGUGUUAGGUGAGGAGGGAGUUGGUUACAGUGCUGCUGAGCUUUCAUGAAGCCGCACGUCAUGCAACACUUGUUCAUCUCCACUGGAGAUUGUUCUGGUGAUAGCGUCGCAGACCAGCAGCCCAUCUCUCAUCUGGGCUCUCUCCGGGUUUCCAGCCCAGGUUCUGGCAGCCGACCUUGAUGUAGGUGUUGAAUAUCUCAAAUUACUCACAUAUUUACAGAGAUAAAGGCUCUUUGAUGGCUCCCGGGGGCCCUGGAGAGGCACUGGUCUGUGGCCGGGGCUUUAAGGGGCCCAGGAAGAUGAACGGGGGUUCCGGCUGCUCCGCUCUGGAGGGAAUUUUGCUUCCACUUGGUCAAAAGCUGUUUUCUGGAUUUCCUUCAUUCUUCCUCAGGACACCUUUUGUCCAGGCAGUGCAGCAGACUUCCAGUCCUCUGGGCUCCGGUUUGGGAUACCUGGAGCACAUUUGCCAGCUUCUGGAGAAAAUUGGCCACCUGCAGGAGUUGAACCUGCAACUGCAAAGGCAGGUCUGUGGCCUGCAGAAGGACGGCAGGAUGACGAAGACUAAAGAGGACUUUUUCCAGCAGCACUGCAGCUGCGGCGCCGCCACCUUAGCCUUCCAGGUCCGGCUGUCUAGAGGAGACUUGGCCCAAAGUGGACACGUCUCUGAUCUGUCCACCAUCCCAGAAGUCAGCCGGCACCCGCUGUCGUCGACAGGUGUGAUCGGUGAGCAUUCAGCCACCAGCUCACUGAGGAGGAAACGUCUGGGUGGAUGGAGUAGUUCUGAGGGGGAGGACGGAUCCCUCUGGGACAACAUGGAAGCAUCAUUCCUCUCCCAGCGCAGGCUGGGUGAGAACUACACCUGGGGUCGGGUUAAGGACAUCAUGAAGAAAACUAAAUUAAGGAAUCAGAGCAGGCUGGGAAUGACCUCCGCCUCACUGAAGAUGUCCUGUCCACAGCUCUACAGGCCUGAUCUGGAUCCAGAAGAAGCUGCUGGUAGAAACAGGAAGUCCAUGAUCGCUUUGAGCUCCCAGCACAAACUGGACUUUUGGAUCGAGUGAAAAUGCAG